CUACGGGCGGCUCCAGUGGGGAAUAUUGCACAAUGGGCGCAAGCCUGAUGCAGCCAUGCCGCGUGUAUGAAGAAGGCCUUCGGGUUGUAAAGUACUUUCAGCGGGGAGGAAGGGAGUAAAGUUAAUACCUUUGCUCAUUGACGUUACCCGCAGAAGAAGCACCGGCUAACUCCGUGCCAGCAGCCGCGGUAAUACGGAGGGUGCAAGCGUUGAUCGGAAUUACUGGGCGUAAAGCGCACGCAGGCGGUUUGUUAAGUCAGAUGUGAAAUCCCCGGGCUCAACCUGGGAACUGCAUCUGAUACUGGCAAGCUUGAGUCUCGUAGAGGGGGGUAGAAUUCCAGGUGUAGCGGUGAAAUGCGUAGAGAUCUGGAGGAAUACCGGUGGCGAAGGCGGCCCCCUGGACGAAGACUGACGCUCAGGUGCGAAGGCGUGGGGAGCAAACAGGAUUAGAUACCCGCGUAGUC
rnacentral:rRNA from 1 species